GGUGGCCGAUGAUGAUAUCACAGAUUGCCUACAUUGUUUGAUUGUUUAGAUGAUGACGCAAUCCCUUAUAUCUGAGGCCAUU